UGUUUUUUUGAUACAUAAUCG
rnacentral:piRNA from 1 species